ACUCAAAUGAAUUGACGGGGGCCCGCACAAGCGGUGGAGCAUGUGGUUUAAUUCGACGCUACACGAAGAACCUUACCUAUUCUUGAAUCCCUGGAAGUUAGCAGAAAUGCUGAUGUGCCGCAAGGAACCAGGAGACAGGUGCUGCAUGGCUGUCGUCAGCUCGUGUUGUGAGAUGUUGGGUUAAGUCCCGUAACGAGCGCAACCCUUGUCCUUAAUUGCCAGCGAGUAAUGUCGGGAACUUUAAGGAGACUGCCGGUGACAAACCGGAGGAAGGAGAGGAUGAUGUCAAGUCAUCAUGGCCCUCACGAAUAGGGCUACACACAUUCUACAAUGGUAAGUACAAAAGGAAGCAAUGUCGCGAGACUGAGCAAAUCCCAAAAGCUUAUCGUAGUCCGGAUUGGAGUCUGCAACUCGACUCCAUGAAGCUGGAAUCGCUAGUAAUCGCAGAUCAGCACGCUGCGGUGAAUACGUUCUCGGGCCUUGUACACACCGCCCGU
rnacentral:rRNA from 1 species